GGGAGGGAUUGGGGGCAGGAGGAGAAGGGGACGACAGAGGAUGAGAUGGCUGGAUGGCAUCACUGACUCUAUGGUCAUGAGUUUUAGUGAACUCCGGGAGAUGGUGAUGGACAGGGAGGCCUGGCGUGCUGUGAUUCAUGAGGUCGCAAAGAGUCGGACACGACUGAGCGACUGAACUGAACUGAAGAGCUGAUCAAGAAAAACUGUUGGGACCAUGGCAAAGACUUCUUGCUGUUUUGCUAUAUGGGUUCUCCUCUCCUAUUUUGGUAAUAGAACUGCUAAUUUUUAGCCCUUGGAGAAGGAAAUGACAACCGCUUCAGUAUUCUUGCCUGGAAAAUCCCAUGGACAGAGGAGCCAGCGGGUUACAGUCUCUGGGGUCACAAAGAGUUGGACCUAGCAACUCCAUAACAUAAGAGCCCCUAUUGUCUGAACUAGGGCCAUAAAAACCAAGGAUUACCACCUCCCACUGAUGAGGUGCCCACAGGCCACCCCUCACCCAUGGCAGAGAGCAGAUGAAGAGGAACAGGUAGUGGGCCUGGAGGAUCAAAUAGAUGGCAUGUGGGAAUUAUGUAACUACACUUUGGCCAGUGGAACAGAAUUAGAAAUAGAGUGAUCAGCUUUGAGGGGCACACCUUUAAAAGAUGGGGCAUGUCCUUCUCCUUCCUAUAUGCUGGACUGGUGACUGGAAUUUGAGCAGCCAUCUUGGUCAUGAGAUGAAAGCUCUAUCCUGAGAUUGGCAGAACAUGAGAGAGGGAACUUGGAUGAUCAGGCAUCUCCACACCUCUCCUCUGCACACAGCCCUUCUUUCAAGCUCCAGGAGAGUCUGUGACAAGGAGUGGGCUCCCUCUGCAAGACAUCCUGAUUCCUUUGAAGAAAGGCAGCCAGGAAAUGUGAAGCAUGGGCUGUUUUAUUACUAAGAGUUGAGUGACAGGCUUCCCAGCAGACUCGAAAGACAGAGCAAGAAGAGCUUGCUUCUUCACAGCACUGAGUGAUGCUCGCUGAGGGGUUAUGGUUCUGAUAGCUGAACAGCCAAACAGCUUUCCUCCUCCAGUGUUUGAAGGUCUGGUCUACACCCUCCCAGGAAUGCAGCCAUAGAAUUAGGAGUCCAAACUUCAGGAAGGUAGGCACUGGGAAGAAGAUUUGGACCCAUUUGAAGAAAGAACAUCAGAGCAGGAGCUGAGACGGUAGCACCGAUAUCCUUAAAAUGACAUCACAACAAAAAGAGAGUUAACACCAUGUAUGCCAAUUGUGUGUGUGUGAGGGGGGAAGGGGUUGGUCACCCAAUUUGUGGAUCAUGUGGCCUCAAGCAAGAGCUUCGACCUCACCACUCAGCAAACACAGGUAGCUUCACUGUACUUGUUGGUUCCAUGGUGAAUCAAGACCUUGGAAUUCUUCACGAGGAUAUCAAAUCUCUUCAAAUUCCAAGAACAGUUAGGAAGCCUUUCACCCCUCGAAAUCUUUGUACCUGCUAUUGCGUCCUCUUCCUACAACCCUUACAGCCUGUUUCAGGUGUCUAAUGCUGUGUUAACAAAGCACCCCAAACAUAAUGCUUUAUAAUAAAACCACAAAAAUCUCUAUCUUGCCCCCAAAUCUGCAAUUUAGGCAGACUGAGAGGGAACGGCUCGACUCUGCUUCAUUCAGUGUCAGCUGGGUGUCUCUAAGGCCGGGGGCUGAAAUUAACCAAAGGAGGGGUCCCUGGGCAUCUCCCUCCACUGCGCAUGGCUUUUCCACGUGGUGUCUACCGCGUGUCAGUUUCAGGGUAGCCAGACGUCUUACCAGACAUCUCAGGCCUCCCGAGGCAUAUAUCCCGAGACAGGGAGACAGAAAACCAAGCAAAAUCCAGGUUGCCUUUCAGUGACCUAACCUCAGAAGUCACAUGCAUCGCUUCUCCGCCCUCUCUGGGAGGAAGCAGUCAAAAGCCGCCACCCAGAUUCCUGAGCAGGGAACGCAGAGCCCCCUGCUUCUCCAUAUGAGGCAGGCCAGUCUCACUGUGAGAGGAGCAUAUGGGACGGGAGAUACAGCUUGCUGCGUCCAUUUCCAAAAGGUAUAAUCUGAAUCCACUCUUUUCUGUCUGAAAAACCCUUCUUAUGCUUCAAGACCCGGCUCAAACAUCACCGCCUUUAUAGAGCCCCCAAGUUCCUAAGAGCAGGUUACCUCCUUGAUGAGGCCUAACUGCACUUUGUACCUCUGCUUUCAGAGCACGUAGCACCCUGAAAUGACAUCUGUCUCUUUCUGGAGUCUGUGAAUGGCG
ensembl:lncRNA